rnacentral:rRNA from 1 species
GAUGAACGCUGGCGGCGUGCUUAACACAUGCAAGUCGAACGGAAAGGCCCAAGCUUGCUUGGGUACUCGAGUGGCGAACGGGUGAGUAACACGUGGGUGAUCUGCCCUUCACUUCGGGAUAAGCCUGGGAAACUGGGUCUAAUACCGGAUAGGACCUCAUUUUGCAUGGUGUGGUGGAGAGUUUUUCGGUGUGGGAUUAGCUGGUGGCCUAUCGGCUUGUUGGUGGGGUAAUGGCCUACCAAGCCGUCUACGGGUAGCCGGCCACGGAGGGUGUACGGCGACACUGGGACUGAGGGGAGGCCCAGGCACCUAAGGGAGGCAGCAGUGGGGAAGAUUGCACAAUGGGCGCAGGCCUGAUGAAGCGGGGCCGCGUGGGGGAUGACGGCCUUCGUGUUGUAAACUACAUUCGCUAGGGACGAAGCGUUAUGUGACGGUACCUGGAGAAGAAGCACCGGCUAACUACGUG